GACGAACGCUGGCGGCGUGCUUAACACAUGCAAGUCGAACGGAAAGGCCCUGCUUUUGUGGGGUGCUCGAGUGGCGAACGGGUGAGUAACACGUGAGUAACCUGCCCUUGACUUUGGGAUAACUUCAGGAAACUGGGGCUAAUACCGGAUAGGAGCUCCUGCUGCAUGGUGGGGGUUGGAAAGUUUCGGCGGUUGGGGAUGGACUCGCGGCUUAUCAGCUUGUUGGUGGGGUAGUGGCUUACCAAGGCUUUGACGGGUAGCCGGCCUGAGAGGGUGACCGGCCACAUUGGGACUGAGAUACGGCCCAGACUCCUACGGGAGGCAGCGGUGGAGAAUAUUGCACAGUGGGCGGAAGCCUGGUGCAGCAACGCCGCGUGCGGGAUGACGGCCUUCGGGUUGUGAACCGCUUUCGCCUGUGACGAAGCGUGAGUGACGGUAAUGGGUAAAGAAGCACCGGCUAACUACGUG
rnacentral:rRNA from 1 species